rnacentral:lncRNA from 1 species
UUUUUUUUUUUUUUUUUGUAAUAUAUAGUUUAUAUAUUUUGGUAGAAAUUCUAAUAAAAGAAUCAUGUAUGACUAUAAUAACCAUCUUCAUGCCAUCCUCAAAAGUUAACAUUUUUUCGGUCAUAACAUUACGUUCACACCUAUAUAUGUAUAUAGUUGGAUUUACAUCAUCUCUACUUAUUUCACAUCUUCAACAAAACCAUUCAUCUAUAUUAUCUUCAUGUACAUCAACUUCUUCCAUUUCAACCAUAUCCCAUAAAUUUCUAUGUUGAAUUCUUUGAACUAUUUUCCAACCAUUACCUAACAAAAUAUCAUCAACAUAAAACACAUUGUGCUUGCGAGGCAAGAAUGAAGGGUUUAUUUUGAUACCAAAAGUCGUAUCAAGUAUCUAUGCUUGUAAAAUGAUUGUCUUCGCAAAUUUGAUUUCUUCUUGAAUUUGUUUCAUACCAAUCACAUCCAAAUAGAACUAACUUGUUUUCUAUCAACAUACUUCAAUUAAUUCACUUCCCUUAAAAUACCAUAAAAAUUGACCCUUCAUGAUCAUGUCCUCCAAAAACACAAACUCCACUAUUUUGAGUUUGAGUUGUACAAUAGUCAUAUCGAUCCUUUGAAUUAUUGAAUUGAAUACCACUGUAGAUACAACCACCAUGUGAACUAAAUCAAAUAUUAAGGCCACAUGAAAGUGCACACAACUCAUGCACAUUUUCAUUGGUUGCUGGCUAAAUUUUUUAUUGCUUCUAAAGUACAUUAGCAACUCACAAUAAUCAAUAAACAAUUAUGAUAAUGGAUCUAACAUAGAAAGUAUACUCCAUUUUCAUACGAACUUACUUUAAUUUUUAACCAUUCUGAAAUUUUGCUUCAUGUUUUUCGUGAAUGUACAUAUUUGCUUCAUUUCUAUUUCGUGGUUCAAUCAUGAAUUUCAUGUUAAUGACCAAUUUUCAUGAGAAAACUUUCAUUAAUGGAAAUAAUUUGACACCUUCUAUAUGGAUCCACUGCAUCACAAUUUGUUAGCACAUACCAAUGAAGUAUUGUAGUUGGUCACGUGAUAUCUCUUACAUUCAUGAACCACCGUUUGGAUGUGCUUUUUGUAAAAGUAUAGUUAUAUGUUUAUUGUUUUUUUGAGGUACUAAGGUCUAAUAUUAUCAUCAUUUUCAAUUCAUCCAUUGGAUUUUGUUUUUGGUUUAAUUUCAUACAGAAGGCUUCAUUUGCUGUGUAACACUUUUGUUUUUUUUAACAUUCAAGAUGAGCUAUAUUUCUAACAUGUUCAUUUAAAUACUAUAGAUAUUAGGUUAUUUGACAUUCCUUCAAUGUCAAGUAAUAAAAAAAACGUUAAGUAUUCGACUGUCAAGUAUACUUUAAUCAUUUGACACCAAAAAAACAUCAAAUUAUAUAUUUUUCUGACAUAUUUUCAAUGUCAAGUAAGAAUUUAUACUUUACUUUUUUUGACACGUCAAGUAAGAUAGUAUACUUGCCUCUUUUUACAUGUCAAGUGUCAUAUAAUAUACUUUUGACUUGUUUUACAUGUUACGCGUAACAUGGCAUACUUUACUCUUUUUACAUGUCAGAUUGGUGGAUUCUUGACGUUGGUUUUAGUUAUAUUUGCUUACUCUUUACAUUUUAUUUACGUCAAAUAUAUGAUUAUUUGACAUGAAAGAAUGAUCAUGUUAUUUAAAUCUUAGCAUGCUUUUAGCAUCAUAUUAUAUAUAAAUACCUUUUAGUUAACAUUUUAAAUAUAUUGAAUUUCCAUUUCUCAUUUCCUGCAUUACAUUCAUUUCAAUAAGAUAGAUUCAUUUCAAUACGUACACUGUAAGAAUUUUGAAGCUAUCUCGACGUGAAAAAACGUGUCGACAAAAAUCAAGUUGGAAAAAAAACGUCCCCCUGCCGCAAAUUACACGUCGAUCGAGACGACUUCGUCCUGACAUCAUGAUUUCAUGCAUUGGAAAAAGAGAAAUUAAUAUUUAAAUCUUACAUUUUUUACAACGUCAUACACACUAACAUCGAAAAUGGGGUCCCCAUUUUCGACGUCACCUUGUCCACGUCGGAAAAAAGAGAAAUUAAUAUUUAUUUCUUUACAUUUUCCCCGUCGCGAAGCACACAAAUGUAAAAAAUGUGUUUCUCAUUUUCAACUCCAAUGUUAACCACAUCGGAGAAAAGCAAACAAUCAAAUAAUUAUUUCCUUUUCCCCGACGCCAUGUAGGCAACUUCUGGGGAGGUGAUACCUAUUUUCAACGUUUCACUUAUGAUGUCGAGAAUAUGUAUCACCUCCUCUGACACCAACGUUUGUAACGUCAGGAAAUGGAGGUCUUCCGACGUUUUCAUUGUGCGUCGAGAGUUUUCCAAUAAAAAGGGGUUUUCAUUUUUGUAAUUCAGAGAAACGAAAGAGAGAAGAGAAGCCGAGAGAGUUGAGAGAGAGACCCAAAAGGAGAGAACCCACAUCGUCGCUCACUGUCGUCCAUGUCCGAUCAUUCAUCGUCCUUUCACUACCACUACAUUUCAUUCCGGUAAGUUAUUUAGUUUGUUAUUGUUUUUGUUUUUGUUUUUAUUUUGGUUUUGUUAAUUAGUCUUAGCAUUUAUAAUUGAAUUUGAUUUAAUUUUAGUUAAUUAAUUAGUUUUGGGUUUUAGUAUUGAAUUUGAAUUUGAAUUUGAAGUGGUUUUAGGAUUUAAGAUUGACGUUGAGAUUAAGAUUUAAUUUGAAUAUGAAUUCCAAUUUGAAUGUUUUAAAGUUCGUAGGGAUUGAAUUUGGGGAAGGGGUUAUAUUGAAUUUGAGAUUGAGAUUUAAUUUCAAUUUGAAUUUGAAAAUUUGUGGGGUUAUAUUGAGGGGGGGAGGGCUUUAUUAAAAAAGAUGUUAAGAUUUAUUCGGGCCAUAUCUUGCUGUUAUGGUAGCUUUUAGUUCAAACUUAGUUUUUUAUUUGUCAUGACAUUUUGUUGGUUGGAAAUGUUAGUGCUCACACGAAAUUUCUGGAAAAAUUUGAUUCGUGGUGUUGAACUUGAGUUGAUGUAUUUUUUGUUGAUUUGAUGCAAUGUGGUUCGAUCUCUAGAAUUUGAUUCUCUGAUUCUCUCUCAAUUGAAUGCUUACUCCUUAUUUGAGAAAGCAGAGCACGUAAUGUUCUUGGAGUUGGAUAGAAGUUAGGAGUCUUCUAGCUCUUGUGAGAAUUCUUUCUAGACUUUAUGGAGUAAAAAACUUCUAACCUUUACAAAUAAGGAGAACUCCUCUAUUUAUAGAGUUAUCUGGUGGGCUUUGUGGGCUUAAGUCUGGUUGGUCCAUGAACCAGAUCCAUGAGCUCAACCAUAUGAAUUUGGGUCAUAUUUACCAUUUGGACUCAAUUAAGUUUAUUUUUGGACUCAAUUGAACUAAAAUAAUUAAUGUGAUCCAACGGUUAUGAUGAAAACAUGUGGCAUUAUCAGAAUUGACCAAUUUAUGUUUUCAAUUUGAAUUUGGGACACAUAUCAUUAGUUCCAAAUUCAAUUAUCUGCACUUUUCACCAUUAAUUUAAUAAAUUAUGUGACAAUUUGUGAUUGGUCUCAAAAUUUUGUAUUCAACAAAUGCCCCCUUUUCGAAAGAAGUCUGCACUCAUUAAAACAGUUUGUUUGGAACAAAGCACAUCAUGAGGGGUCUAUUGUAGAAGCAUAUAUGAUGAAUGAAUCAUAGACUUUUUGUUCGAGGUAUCUAAAUGGGAUUGAGACUCAAUUCACUAGAGAUGAACAAAAUGAUGAUAGCAUUCCAGAGGACAAGGCAAUUGGUGAGUUCGAAGUGUUCGUUCAGAGAGUAUGACCAUUAGAAGCGUCAAGUUUACGAACCAUAUAACAGGAAGAGAAACAUCUUUUUCAUUGAAACAACCUCAUUAAUGUAGAUGUAGUGGACUACUGGAAGUAUGCAUUUCAAACUUUAUACUCCAUUCGCUAUCUUACGUCUUUGUUAUUGUCACACAAACUCACAAUUAUGUACUUAAGAAAUACUUAAGGCUGAUACGUCGUCAGGGUCAAAGCGUUUCUGACUUAUUUAAAAGAUAUCAACAAGUAUUUCAUGGUUGGUUCAGAGCUCAGAUUUAUAGAGUAUGAAUUCAAGAAUUGGUAUAUGCUUAUUUCAUUAUUUAUAUAUAUUCAUUUACAUCAAUCUCAGGUUCUAGAAAUGUGUGAGAGAGAAAACCUUUCUCAUGAUUUCUUCUCACUCGCAAUGUGACAUUCACUUGAGGUUUGCUCUUACAUAGAAUGCAUUGUCGGUAGGGUACGAUUUCAUAUGGUGAAGUGUGAUUUCUGAUGCACUACACAGAACAGUGGAGUCAUGGUAGUCGGUGAAAAAAGUAACGGUGGAAGUGCCAACAAAAGUUUCUAUGGUGUUUUAGAUGAAGUGUUGCACGUUCAAUAUCCAAUGAGACGAUGUGCUUGACUAUUCAAAUGUAGAUGGUUUGACACAGACAAAAACAAAAACCAUAGAACACAAGUGGAAUUAGGCUAACAAAUCAAUCAACAUGUCCCUUUUUUUGUUCGUUGAGGAACUUGUGAUUCUUGUGAUGCAAGCACAUCAAGUAAUUUACCUCGAGGAUCCAAAAAAUGGUACCAAUUGAAAAGUUGUUCAAUUGGUCCAAAAUAAACGUAUUGGAACGUGCCUGAAGUGAAAGAUAUUGAGGAUGUACAACUUAAUGUAUUGGAAAUCGUUAUCAGAUAUCAUGUGGAUAAAUAUAUUGAGGAUGACACUUUAUGCAGGCCUGAAGAUGAUCCUACAGUGGUGGAAAGACCGGAUGUGCGUCAUGUCCCUAACAACUUCAUAGAUGAUAAUGGUGAACAAUUAUCACCUCAAAGUGGAUCAAGCGACGAUGAAUAAUAAUGUCUUCUUCACAUAUCCACAUUAGUCCUUCUUCUAUAUAUUUAGUUUGAGAUACUCACAUUUGUUUAACGUUUGUUGGUUUUUAUGUGCACAUGUACUUUGUCAUUUCCUAGCGAUUUCCAGGAGGCAGAUAUGUAGCUGGAGUUGGACGACGUGUUCAAUAAUGCAAGAGGAUCAUCUUUAGACGACACUUCAGGUUAGUCCCGUUACAUAAACACUUGAAUCGGUAAUUACGUUUUGGUUUCUGAUAUUGCUAUGUUUUUGUAGAUGGCCCUCAACCCACUCCUACUCCAGGAGAUGUCAUAACUCUCAAAACUUGGAGUUGGAUAGAUAUGUACAGCAGAAUGUGAAGAUCCCAAUAUCAAUCGAUCUAGGAGGGGACAAAUUUGUCUCAUCACAUUCCGUUCGGAUCAACAACACCAUCAAUGUGUUAACGAGAGACAUAUUUUCAAUCCAAGCCCUCAAAUGGGUUGAUGUACCUCUAGAGUACAUCGAGGUCGCCAAGGGGGGCCUACAUGUAAGUUUGUAAAUUACCUUUAUAUAUAUGUUAACCUACAUAUGUAGAAAACUAAUUUUUAUGUAUCUUUCUUUUGUAGCGAUGAUUCAUGCUUCAUUUCGUUGAUCAAGCACUUAUUUGAUUUCUUGAGCAUCAAAUGCUCAACACGUGAAAAAAGUUCAAGGAAGACAAUCAUAAGCAUUCAAGCAGUUUAGCGACCUUGAAGAAGCGCGUGCCGACCCAUCGCUGAGAUUAGUGAAUCGUGUGGAAAAUUGAUAAUUUCUCUAUGAUCAUUACAUGACUCGACAAUUUCAGGUGAUUUAUAUCUUCUUCUUUUACUUCACAACACUUCAUUUUUGUUGUUUGGAUGAAACAUUGUGAUUGUGUGCAUGUAGGAGCAAUCAAGGAUCAACAAGGCUGCUAGAGCGAAGCAACCUUACAACAAUAAAAGCAGACCCAACUCGUUCCUACAAUGAUAACACAAGCUCGUUGAACAACGUGGUCGCCUAGUGGACCAUGUGGAGUUGUUUAAAGAAACACACGCCAGUAGGAAUAGCGAGUUGGUUUCAUAGGAGGCAGUGGAUGCGCAUGUAAGUUUAUGAAAAAUAUUUCUUGUAUUUUCUACUUUUAGUUCUCAGCUCACAAGUUAAAAUGUUGAAACUCCAGUCCCAACCCACACCAAAAGGUUCUCAACAACUCUCUGGAGAUGAGUUAUGUGAGAUCAUUUUGGGUAGACGAUCAGGCUACUCAAAAGGUCUUGGUUGGGGCCCCAAGCCGAAGUCUCGAAAGAGUAUUGCUACCAGUUCUUUGUCUUCAUAUGAGCAAAAGAUGCACUCUAGAGAGGUUAGCAAACUAAGAGAUGGCCUUGAAAACGCUAACCGCUUAAUUGGAGAACAACGGAUAAGGUCGUAGUUACAAGAUAAACAAAUGAAAGAAAAUGCACGACAAAUGGAAGAGAUGAUGAAAAUGAUUUAGAAAAUGAGUCGGACACAUAGAGAACCGUGAACACUUAGGGUACAUAUUUUUCAACUUUUAAUUUGUUUAAUUUCUUAUCGGUGAUAUAUAUCUAACUUUACUUUUAUGUAAUUUGUAGGUUUGGAAUUCUUUGAAUUUGGCAUCUCUAGCAAGAAUUAAGAGAUGAUGUAGUUUUUUUCCUUUUCAUGAAUUGUUUUGAACAUUUUAAACAACUUGUAAUUUUUGUUAUACAUUCAAAUUUAGUAUUUAAUUUUAUAAAUUGCAAAUUUUUUUUAAAUAAUUUGUUUAAAAUUUUGUUUGUUGUCUUUUAAAUCGUAAACUAAAACAAUACAUCACAAUAACAAAAGGAAAAAAAGAAAACAAUUUAAAUAAAAUAAUUAAAAAAUUAUAUAAAAAUUCUCCCAACGUUACUUAUACAUCAGAAGUAAUGGGUCCUCAACAUCAUUGAAUUUUCGUCAGGGAAAACUUCUCCCGACGUGGCACUGGGAGACAGGUAUGUCUGACGCAUGAAGGAGACGUCGGACGGAUGCCACUGCCGACGUCAGCCACCCAUCAGCGUUGACGGUGUCGGGAUAUGACAAUCUCGAUGUUGUCUCGUUCGAGCGUCAAAAAAUUUCUCCUCCAACGUAAUGUGCUCGAUGUUUUUCCCGAUGGAGCGUCUCACAUCGGAAGAGGUUGUUCCAACGCGUUUUUGUACAAAUGUUGACUCUUUAUAGCUACAGAAAUAUUCCAAAUCCUUGUAGUGAUAAUAAGUCAUAUAUGAACAAAAUCCAACAUUCAAGAAACACAUAUUAACUAAUUCACUCUAGCAACACAACAAAUAAAAGGAUAAAUAGUUUAAUAUAAUAAGUAACUAACAGUAACUCCAUUAUUUGACAAUAUGUCAUAAAUAGUUGCACAAUAUCAACCUGAUAUUCCAACUGAGCUUUAAAAUAUGUGGCCUAUUCCAAAUUUUACAAUUAUCUUUUAUGAACCCCUACCCACACUACAAGAAAUUGGGGGUCUGCCAACGUCGUCAAACAUUAGCAUAUAUACCCAAAUACGUCGAGAAAGGAUCUUUCGACGUACAUAACAUCGUUAGAAAGUAAUUCGAAUGUAGUGCGUUGGGGGAGGAAUUCCCGACGUGCAAACAAGAAGGCAUUGGGAAUGUCUUACUCUGACGCUGGAAAUGCCAACGGAUGGAGCACGUCGACAAUAGGUAACUUUCGACGUCCCAUCUCUACGUUGGGAGAAAUAUACUCCCAAUGCAGCAUUGGGGAUGGUUGCUCCGACGCGUUGCUUACGAUGUCAAGGAAAGGGCAUCAUUUCUGAUGCCUUCAAUGCAUCGAGAGAUAAGUUUAAUAUAUUUUUUUCUUCCAAUUUUUAUGUUUUUUUUUUAUCUUGAGGUAGUUUUUUUAGUUUUGAUUCUUUUUCUUCCACUUCUUUAUGAUUUAUAACUUACCCAUAUUAUUAAUUUCUUCAUAUUAUUAGUCUCCUUAUUCAUAUUUCCACUUCUUGUUUGCAAUUUCUUCAUUUCCUCUUCUAGAACUUCUUCUUUCUUCUUCAUCUCUCAUCUUCUUUUUUUCUUUUUGGUACAAGAUUUAAACGAUAUUGGUACAGAGUUUAAACCAUCGUGUACCAAUAUCUAAACGAUCAGUUGUUUGUCCCAGAUAAACAUAUAUAGAUCUUUAUCACUAAUAGAUUGUUUAAUUUUGAUACAAGAUCGUUUAGACUAGGUACAAGGAUACAAUACCGUUUAGGUUGGGUACAAGUGUACAAGAUCGUUUAGAUUGGAUACAAAAGUACAAAAUCGUUUAGGCUAGGUACAAAGAUACAAGAUCGUAGCUUUUUUCUUUUUCGAAAUUGUUCUAUAGGAUGUAAAUAUUUUCGCACUUUGUUGUACUUUUGCAAAAACAAAAACAAAAUAUUUUUUAGAAGAUAUUAAUUGGUAUUUAUGUAAGGAAAAGUUGUUAAGAAUACAAAAUAAACAAAAUACUUAUAAUUUAUAGAAAAAUCAAGUGAAAUUUUGUCGUUCACUAAAUUUUUAAAGAAAAUUAUAAAUAGUUUUUUUGUUGGUUAGUUUUCACAAAUAUAACAAACUAACAAAAUAUUUACAGUCCGUCUAACAAAUUGAAAAGGUUCAUUAAGCUCGUUUGUCCUUCCUUUUUCUUAGUCUUUCUUAUGCUAUUUUUUUCUUUUCAUCGUUUUUUUCCCAUUUUUCUUUUAUUUUUUUCAAAUGGUUAUUUGAUUCAAGAUCUUGUACAAAAUAUAAAAGAUCUACUUUUUUUUUUUAAAAAAAAAAUGUAUUUGGUCGUGUGACAAAUAUAAAAGAGGUGAAAAAAUCGUUGGAAUAUUGAAUAGUCAAAUUUAAACUAUAGUCUAAAAAAAUAGCCAAGAUUUGGCUAUCCAAAUUUAAGCAACCGAAUACCAAAUCUAAAGAUCGUGGAACAAAUAAUCUUGAAAAAAUGUUUUUGAACAAUCAUUUACCAAUAUAUUAGUUCUGCUAGCUUUCUAUUAUCAUUUUUUUGUAUUUCGCAUUGUAGGCGUGUAGAGCGUGAACCUUUUUUUCAAAAUUAUUGUAUACAUUGUAAAUAUGUUGACCGUUUUUUAAAAGAUGCAUUUUAUUUGUUUUACUAUUUUCGAAAAAACUUGUUAGGUAAAAUGUGGGGAAUGAAAAAGAAUGAGAGCAUAAAAAAGAAAGAAAGAAAUGAAUUAAGAAGAUUUACCAAUUAAUGUCAAAAGUGGGACCCAGUUGUGGUGAAGUAAGAAGAACGUUAGAAAAGUGAAAUGGAAAGCACACAAUCUUUUCCCUUCUCUCUCUUUUACACCUUACCCAAAUUUCAGACCGUUGCGAAACCAAAUUCCCUUUUUCUUUUCAAACCUCACAAAAACACAAAGCACACUCAUUAUCUCUUCUUCUUCUUCUUCACCUCAUUCAAUCAAAACCACAAACCUUCCUCACCCUUCAACAAUGGCCCACAAAUUCCCCCAUCUCCCCUUCCACUCCAUCGACUCCAGAUCCCUCCUCCUCCACCAGAACUCCGCCGCCGACCACCCCAUCUCUCUCCACCUCACACCUGAGCCUUUUUCCAUGGAAAGAGGCCCAAGGUACAGAGCCUACGCAGAGCUCAGAGAAUCCAAGCUCCGCUUGAGAAACGCCAUGUAUCGCCACGAUGAACACCCGGAGAAGUCCACCCCGCCGCCCAAGAAGCAAGUUAAAUUUCUGGGUUCGGAGACUGUAAGGAAAAGGUCCGCUACGGUGGCGCAAUCGGUGCCGGAUUUCUCUGCAGUGCUAAGAAAGGAGAAUAGAAAGCCGCCGCCGGGGAUGUUGUCGCCAGUGAUGGAGAUGACGCCCCCGGGGAAGACGUGGGGGAAGAAUAUUGGGGGAUUGUCGACGACUUCGAGGGGGAGUAAGUCCGCGAGUGCAGGGGAGAAAAGGGGCGGCGGAUUGACGGCGGUGAGGAAAAGCUACGCCGGAUUUGAGGAGCUGAAGGGGUUUUCUACGGCGGCGGCGAACGCCAUUAAUGGUGAAAAUAGGAAAGGAGGGAGGAGAGGGAAGACUGUAUUGGGGGUUAGACAAAUCUGAAUGAAAAUAAGAAACAAAUUAUUGUAUUUUCUCGAUGGAAGAAGAUUGCUCUGUUUAUGUGUUACAAUGUUUUUUAAUUUUUGUUGGUUUUGGUGUUGUUUUUCUAGGAUACUUUUGAUUCUUUUAUUAUAUAAUGGAUAAUUUGAGUUUGUGGAAUAAUGAAGUGAGAAGUAAAAGAAAAAUGUUGUUAUUUGUUCAUCUUUGUGUUCAUUGAUUAUACAAGCUUCUUCUAAGUAGAGUUUCAAAUCUAAUCAUUAUCUUUUUCCUUUUAAUACGAAUUUAGUUACCCAUAUUUAAAGAAUCUUAUUCAUUAUUAUUACUGUUCUUUUGUUUCUAAAGUAUUAAUGUGUAUUGAUUUCAUAAGUUUUUUAGUAUAUUUGAAAUCUAAUCAUCAAAAUCAUUGCAUGCAGUGUUGCUGACAGUAAAUUGUAGGGUUUGGGAGGAUUUCUUUUAGCGAUUCUUUAUUUUGAUCCUAAAACCUUGAGCAUUUAAUUUUAAUUCCUAUUAGUCCAUGUUUUAUCUUAAUCCAAUACCUCAUAAGAGAUUAGUCUUUAAUCAAUAAUAAAUCAUCUAAAUGGAAACUCUUAAAAUCUGCUAGUGAGCUAAAUACAAGGAUUUGAUCCUCAGAAUUAUGCUCAGUUGGAUUGUUUAACCCAUAACAAAAGUAAAUGAAUAAAAGAAGCAGAUUAUAAAGGUGAAUGAACUCCAAGUUUAGGAAAAUGAGGUAAAUGUUAAACUUACAAAUGCAAGUAAAAUACUCUUGAAAAUUAGAUCACAGAUCAGAGAGUUUUGAGCAGUAAAGCCAGCUUCCAUAAUUAUGCUUCAACUAGCAAUGAGAGCCACAAAUUCACAUCUACAAAUUACAUUUAACCUUCAUUUGUACAAAAAAAAAUUGCACGCAAAAGAUAUAAUCCACAAUACCAUGACAGUCAAAAUCAUCCCUUCCUGAAGUCCCACAGCUCUGUUACAAUUUCCUCAACUAACAUUUGAAGUAUGUACCCAUCAAUUUCAGCCCCACUCUCCAAUUCUUCAAUGCUAAAAUCACUCCAUUUCCCCAAGGAGUGGCUCAUUUCCCAUUCUACUAUCUCAUCCGUCAUCAUCCCAACAAAAUAUACCCAUUUCUUGAUCUCCUUCUCGACGUCUCGAAUAAACGCUCUUGCAUUUUGUGUUGGCGAUGUUCUUAUCCAAGCAUUUGAUCCACCAUAGUAUAGUUGGCUAUGUUUCAAGUCUAAGCAUUCUAUCAGACAGUCGAAAAGAAAUCCUCUUAGAUGGUUUACCUCCUUGACAUCCUCCAAACUGCGGAUGCUGCUAGAGUUUGUCCACAUUUCACACGUGAAUGUUUCCAGUUCAUCAAUGAAAAGUGGGAAAAUGAGAAGGUUAUUUUCAUCCCUGCCAAAUAAAAUUUCGGUAUUGAGCAUAACGUCUUUUGCACGAGCAAGCUUACUCCCAGUCAGUUUUGUGCCAGUAAGGUUGUUGCUUUGCAGUAUGCUAGAAAUAGCAGUAAAGACUUCGGUCAAUCUUUCAUUCCCAACAUUCCCUUCGCUCAAGGAGGUUGCGGAAUCUAAAAGAUCGGUAUCAGGUUCAGACAGCUGUGGUUGAUCAAAUGAGCAAUCAACAGACUCAGCUGGCAUUCUGCAUCCUGUGACGAUAAGAAAAGACAUUUAGCCUAAUUAUUCUCACAUGGAGGAAUUUUGAAAGAAUAGAGGAGAUUGAGCCUUUUGGAUAAAUUAUAAGUUCACUCUUUUGUAUUUCGUAUUGUUAGGUAUACUAAACAUCUAACCUGAGCUCUCAUCCAUGCUGCUGGACGAGAACGAAGCUUCAAGAACAGAACCGGGGCUAAGUUGAUCUUGUCCUUUUAAUAUGUUUGUGAUCCUUUCUUCCUUCAAAUCAUCCUGGAAAGACAGGAGUGGAAUCAAUAUCGAUUAAAAGUAAACUACCUUUAAGUUUCGAUUAGAAAAUAAGAGAAACUAACAAAAUAAUAACAAAAAAUAUGAACUAAGCCAAAACUUGACAUACAUGUUUACGUUUAUCGAAUUUAAUGAAAAACCAGAAGAAAUGUAUGGUUUACAGUCCAUGAAGGAAAAGACUAAAUUGGACUUUCAAAUACUCCUAGGACAAGAGAACUAUUCUUGAAAUAAACUUGAAAACAUGUAAUUCAGAAGAAUAUUGCAUAAUUCAUGUAUCCUUCAGGAAGGUCACUUCAUGCUUUAAAAAAAUCGAUGAUAUAUUAUCUAAGGAAGCUCGCAUAGUCAAUUAGGCAAGCAAACAAACCAUGGAAUCAAAUUUACAAGAACAUAUUUGGUGCGGACAGAAAUGAAAAUGCAGCUUUAGAGAAAAUAACUGGCAACGGGUAUUUAAUUAGGGAUCUGCUUUAGGUCAUUUUCAGGUAUAAGAAAACCCAAUUCAAUUAAUUAUUAAUUAUUCACCAGGUUAACUGAGAAUUAAACAUAUAAUAUUUGACAACCAACUUUCAUCAAGUACUAGAUAUUCCAACUUUUUCAAAUCUAAGAGGACCCAUUUUCUCAGUCCACAAGUGGGGUUACGAGGAUUCAAACCUCCAGCUCCAACUGUUGGAUUUUUUGGUAAAAUUAUUAAGAAAUUCUUGAAAUUGUCCUACAUUGAAAAGGUUUAGGAAAGUCAUGGGCUUGUCCUACACUAAAAAGGUUUAGAAAAGUCAUAGAGUCAUAGACUAUUAAAGGAGUCUAUGUCUCUGUUUUUUAAUUGUCUCAGUUAAAAACACUUUAAGUUUUAGUAUGCUAACUCUAAUUAAAUUUCUUUUGUAUUCUCUAGUUGAAGAGUGGGUAAAAGAUGUGAGUGGUCAAAAGCUUGGAAAGUGUUCUUGUAAUUGGGAUCAGGAGAGAAAAUUAUUCUUUGUGAUUGUAGCAAAUUUUUCAUAUAGUAAAUUUCUUUCUUGUCUGUGGUUUUUCUCUAAGUUGGGGGAGUUCUCCACGUAAAUUCUUGUGUUUCCAGUUUUUUUAUUGUUUUCUCUUAAUUUCUCUAUUAUUUAUCUGCUUAUUUCCUACAGCAAAAGUGGGAGAUUUUUCCCAACACAAGUGAAGUUACGUGCAGGUUGGCAAAUUUAAGAGAACCUUGAUACCCGUAACGCACAACAUAGAGGAACUAUGCACGGCUGAAGUAGAUUGCCACUUAGUUCCUCUUUUUUUUCCUUUUUAAGAAACAACUUUUAUUAAGAACAAAGAAUACAAAAGCAUAACAGAACUCAACUAUUUGUUAGAGGAAACUAAAAAACUGGAAAAGUCCAAACAGCUUUUAAACAACUGAGGUAGACUGCCACUAAAUUAUUUGAUAAAGGGCAUUCAGUCCUAAUAGCUAUUUGCUUUUCUUUCUUUUUGAGAAAAAAAAGUCGGGAGAUUUUUAUCAUAAAUUUUUCAUACAAUAAUUUUCCACAACUGAUGCGAUUAGGCAAUGCAUUAUAUAUAGGAAACAAUCACAGUAUAAAAAUGAUGGAGUUGCAAAAUGGAAAAAGAGGAGGAAAAGUAAAUAGAACUAUCAACAGAAAUGAUUCUUACAUAGUGAGUUACAUCCAUGUUGACUGUGGAACCCUCCGAAGCAACUUUCCGAGCAGCUGCUACGGCAGCUAUCAGUUCUUGAAUGAUUACCGAAGCAGGUUUCUUCAAUGGAGAACCCGAUGAUGACCGAUCAUCUCCCUGAGAAGUUAAUUCCUUUAAUUUUUGCUCCAGGAUAUCUAAAGCAUCUCCUCCAAACAAGGAUGGGUUUUGGGAAGACACAUUUCUCUCAUUUGACAAGCUCUCCUCGUUCAUCUUUACUGCAACUGUGGUUUCUUGUCUAACGGGAGAAUUAAAGAUGAAAGAAACAAUGUCUUUAUCCCUUUUGCAAACUCUAUCAGUAGCAUCUCUACAACCAGCUAAUCUAUUACCAGCCCAAGGCUGCUUUGUGGGGAGAGGUUUGCAUUCAACCCUUGAACUUGUUCUAGACAAUUUAUCGCGCGGAUGGGAUCGUUGUUUUAAAGCAGGUGAAUCAAAAGAAGUUUUUCUAUCAUUUUUUCCACUCUCAUGAGCAGUCCUCCUUUUCCUUGGUGAGGUACCUGAUUGUGAUGAAAAAUCUUCAAAUCCAUUAAAAGACUUUCUUUCUAGGCCAAACUUAGAAUUUUCAACUUUAGCAGGCAGCUUCCCUCUGCUGCAGCCAUUGAGACUUCGAUUCAAGGCAACAAAGUUCUUGGUCCGACCCACAGCAUUUUCCGGCGAUGUGGUUCUUCUGCUUGAUGUAAUACUUGCCUUUGAUUUCGAUGGCAUCCUAUCUCUGACUGAUGUCAUAUGAUCUUCAGAUUGACUGCAAUGCUUGACAAUGGAUGAUUGACUUGUCCUAAGAUUGAAUUGUUGGCUGGACGGUCUGGAAGUUGGACAUACAGAUUCAUUGUUCAGAUGCAUUCUUUCUGCAAUAGAAUCAACAUGAGAUAUUAAACAACCCCUAGAUUCAUUCUGUUUGUUCAGAGGCAUUCUUUCUGCAAUGGAAUUGACAGGGGAUAUUAUAGAGCCCUUAGAUUCAUUCUUUCUGGAAGCAACAGUUUUAGGAAGAUCACAGUUUGUUUGGAGGAUUUCUUCUCUUUCUUGCUGGAUGGAUGAUUCAGGGGUUAUUGUUUUACUCCAUCCUGAACCCUUUAAAGAUGAAUUGCCAUAAGUUGAAUUGACGGGUGAAAUUGCAGAUACAUAUUCUUCAACAUCGUGAUUGGGGACCUCAACUUUCAGUAAAUUGUUGCAAUUUUUACAAGAUGCCUGUCCCAUGGACUUUGACAAAUCAUAACCUUCCCCUGGUAUAACUCUGAUUUCCCUCGAUAGAACAUCAUUGGGAGAAUAAUUCAUAGACUUUGGAAGUGUGAUUGCAGAUUUAGCUCUAUUUGAAAUCUGCAGACUAGGCUCCAAUAUUUUGCUAGCAACAUCAAUCAAUCGGGAUGUUCUAGACACAUUCCUCCCCGAGGGAAGCCUUGGACUUUUUGUUGAAGGAAGUUUUGGAGGAGAAGGAGGCUUCCUUGAUCGUGACAUAACACUCUUAUACUGUAGUACCUCAGCCCCUAUUCGUCUCAUCAUCUUUCCUUCCUCCGUUCCCGUUUUUUGAAGCUUUAGAGGUCUUGCUUCAAUUUUUACACUUGCUUUUUCAAAAUUCAUAUCCUCUACUAUUUUUUUUUCCAUGUUAUCACAAGGAUUAGAAAAACCAGUUUUCUUCGACUUAUCUCGAGUUAUAACAGGCAUGGCCUCAAGUCCCAUGAGUCUUGCAACCAGUCCUGGAACUCGCAUUUCAUUUCUGUGCCCUACGUCUGUACAUUGAUUUCCAUUCUUCUUCACGUUUGGGAAACCGCCUCUAUUUUCAUCAGCAAUCUAUUUCUCAAAGAAUGGCACAACGUCAGUAAAAGAACAAGAAUAUAAGCCCAAGAAGAAAUCAAACUAAGCGGAAAAAAGAGACAACUAGGAAAACAAGUGAAUACCAAAUGAUUUUUUGAAGCCGGCAUCUUUUCACCUCCUUUGAACUUCUUAGUUACUUGUUGUGUACGACCUAAUGAAACAUAACAGAACCAGAUUUAAACUUCGAAUUAUAUUGCAGAUGAGCAAAAUUUUAGCCAAGCAUUUACUUUAAGGAAUGAAUGAAAGGAAAAACAGUAGAAUAAAACAUUGCCCAACCUGGAGGAAGCAACUUCCUGGAGAAAAGCUUCUUCUUAGCCAAUCUCCGGUUCCAAUCAAAGAGCUGGAAGAAAAUGCCCACACAACCACCAGACUUAUGGGUCUUCUUCUCUGAAAUAGCUAAACAAGACGAUGUUCUACUUGUAUUUUCCAUCAAUCUCUAACAAAAACCCCCCCAAAACACUCCAACAGAGUUAGACCCUUAACUUGCAACUCGAUGCUCUUCAGUCUACCAAAAACCCCUCUUCAACCCCAAAAACCCCCUACCCCAGUUAUUCCCAAAAGGUUCUUCUCCAUUGUUCAUACAAAUCCCAAAAACACACUCUGAAUCUUCAAACUCUCCCCCAUUUUCUCGAUAACCCACCAAGAGAUUAGAAUCAUCCCCCAUCAAAAGAACCAAAAAGGUGGUGGAAAAAAACAGAAAGACCGUCUAAAAAUAGGCUGCAAUGCUCAAUAAAACAGGUUCCCAGAAAGAAUACCAAACAACCAACAAAUGCAAGAAUAUCACGAAAGCCAAAAAAAAAAAGUCUAAAGAAAAAUAGAAACCAGUACAAUAAUGGAGAAAAGGGACCUGCAAACAAAAAAACAAAAAAACCCAGAAAGGGUUUCUGAUAAAAACGAAAGGUAAAAGUUCAACAGGGCGCUAGGAAACGACGAAGUAACAGUGCCAAAACAGCCACCACUCGGUCAUUCCCCUGACUCGUUCAGACAGAGUUCAGAAUCAGUAAAGCCCAUCAUGUUCCAACACGCAAAACCCACAAAGAAGGAGAGAUUGAGAAACAGAAACAGCGGGUGACCAAAGAAGAAAAAUGGAAACAGAACAGAGGGAGCAGAUAGAGAACAGUCCUCAAAAGCGGGGAAAGGGAAGUGAAAGAGGGGGAUUGAACCGGGGUGGACGAGGUCUUGUGAUCACGAUAACCAAGAGAAUGAAGCUCGAGGCGACGCCCCUGAAAGCUUUUUUUCUGCAAAACCCAAGAGAGAAAAUGAAAGGGGAUAUGCAGUUGCAGGGAGAGCGUGAAGGAUGGUGAAGAAACCACGCGCAGGGGAGUGGAAUGGAAAUAUGGUGAGAAAUGAGAUGACGAUACGACAAAUCGGAUAAUAUUAUUAUAUUUUUAUUUUGUUUUUAGUUUGUAAUUUUGUAUUUCUUUAAUUUGUAUAUUUUUUUUAAAUAACUUAGAGACUUCCACUUCCAAUUCCUUUUUUUUCAUUUACAAACUUUGCGUCCUUUUAUUUUAUUUGGUUCUUCAACUUUUUAAUUCCACAUUUAGUUUCAAUCUAUUUAAAUUUUAUUCAAUACAUCAAUCAAUUGUUUAAAAGUUUUGAGUUUGUUUUAUACUUAUUUAACAUGAAUUUGAAAGUCUAAGAAUUGGUAGACAAUUUUAAAAUAUAAAAGAUUAAAUUUUUAAAAAAAUUAUUUCAUAUUUUUAAUCAUCAAAAUUCAAAUUUUAAAUUCUAAUUGAAACAGAAACUAUUUGGAGUUACCAUAGUCUAAAAUAAACUAUUAUUAUUUUAUUUAUGAACAUGUUUUAGAGUUUUUUUCUUUCUUUCAUAUACGGUGAAACAAGUUUAAAAAACUCGUCAAAUAACACAUACUUAUUUACUUUUGCAAAAGCAACUCACGGAAUACACUUAAUUUACAUGUAAUACAUCACUAAUACAUAUAUACUUGACGCACUCUAUACACUACUGGUAUCUACUUUCAUAAAUUUAACACUCGUUUAAUAUACACUUGAUACCCUUAUAAUAGGCACUUGAUGAACAAUUCAUGUACCAAUUAUUUGAAAAUAUAUUUACAACAAAAAUAUAAACACCAAAAACAUAUUAUUAUAACACAAACUAAAAUAAUCUACUACUAACACAAACUAUUAUAAUCCAACUCUAAUAAACUGAAAAAUGGUUGGAAAUAACAUUUAACAGUUUUGUCUCAUAAAACUAGCACCCUUUUUUAAAAAUCACUUAAACAUUCUUUCUGAUCUUGUAUUUUUCUAAAAUAUUAAAAAAUUUCAAUUUGUUUCGAUUAUUUUGGGAUUUUCAGUUUGUUUCGAUUAUUUUGGGAUUUUCAGUUCAUCUCAUAGACAUUAGAUUAGAUUCUAUAAUGUUCCAAAUCUUUGAAAUAUACGUCAAAUCUUAACUAAUUUUUUUUAAUCUUUUCAAAAGUUUUUAAUUUAACGGCAAUGGAGUAAAUACUAAAUUAAGAAAUGUGGCAUUUUUUUUUUUUUGUAAAAGAGUGGGUCUUUAUCAACUUUAAGGUAAAAAAGCGUGAAACACUUUUUCAAAGGGCGUUGAGAUAAAAAGUGAGUUAUUAUAGUUAUGGGUUAUUUUGGUGAAAUUAUAAUAAAUUCAAAUAUUUGGUAUUUCGAGUGUGUAUGAAGGUGUGUACAUAGUGUAUAUCAAGUGUCUAUUAGAUGAAUAUCAAAUAUAUAUCACAAGUGUAUCAGAGUUGGUAUCUCUCAAUGGUGUAUUAAAGUGUAUCAGAUGUAUGAAUAUGUAGAGAAAAAUUAAGUAUUUAUAGAUAAGUAAAAUUAAUUACGUGUUUAUGGUUGAUAUGUAAAUAGAUUGUAAUAUCUUUUAAAUAAAGUUUGAUAAUAUGGUGAUGAAUUCAUGUAACAUGUAGAUUAUUCUAACUUUGAAAUUGAUGGUAUUGAUGUAUUUCAUAUAGUUACUAUGAAUAUUAAAUCGUGUUUAUUUCUUGCACCCAUAACCAAUCCAAUAUUAAAACCAAUCAAAACAAACAUAUGUCAUUAUUAAUAACAUUAAUAUUUUAAGUUAUGUCAACUGCCAAUACAUUAUAUAUAAACUCAAUGUUAACGUGAAGAUAAUUAAGUUUGAAUCCUAUGAACUAAAAAAAUCAAUAUUGAAAAUAAUUCAAAAUUACAAUUUAGAAUAUAGUUCAAUAAAUAACGUGGCAAUUAUCAUUAAUUUCAAAAUCCAACUACUCAAAAUCUCUAUUUCUAUUGUUAAAUAUUGUUGAUGAAAUUGGAACUUAUAUGAAAUAACGCAAAAGGUUUUUUUUCAAUCAUAUCUAAUCUUUUAACUUAUAUUUAUUAGGAUUGAGAAAAGAACCAAACAAAAGUAUAAAUUUUAUCUCAUUCUCCCCAAGUUACACAUCCUAAUAUUAUAUGUUUAGCAUGGUUAUGUAAGCAAUUGUUUAGAUCAUAUCAAAGUGAUAUUUAAACAAUCUUGAUAUUCUGGAAGAGAAGCGGGAAGAAAGAAAAAGAAGAUAAAUAAAAAUAGGAGAAAGAAAAUCUAAAAGAGGAAUCGAAGAAAUCUAGAAGAGAAGAUCAAUAAAUUGUAAAAAAAAAAAAAAAAAGAGAAGUGACACAUUCGAAAUAUCAAUGACAAAUAUAAAAUUUAUAAAAAUAUUUUAACGGUGUCAUGAGCUUUUCACUAAAUAUUUUGAUGUUUUGUUAUAUGUAUGAAAAUUUGGCUAAAAUAGUGAUGUAAUAAUUUUUUUAAAAAGAAUUUAAUUAUUGUGAUUUGAUAAUAUGUAAUAAAUGGUGUCUUUGGUUUGAUAGAACUUUGAUGGAUAGUCUAUAUGGCAUGGAGUAUAGUCUUAUCUAAGGGUGUACAUCAGUGUUGGUUUCUGGAGAAAAGUGGCAUCAAAUAUUGAAAGAAAAUGGUGUGAAAUUCCAACGUCAAUACAUUUUUACUUUUAUUUAUUUUUUUCAACUAAAGUCAAGAUUAAUGAAAAAUUUUAAAUCACAUGAAACUUAACCUACUUAAAUCAAUCACAUAUGGGGUAAUUAAGAAAAGAACUAUCAUUAUCUACCCAAUUAUACUUGAAUUAUUAAAAUAAAUUGAGAUUUUGAAAUGAUGUAGCUAAUUGAAAAUUACAAACUUAAUUAGACAAUAGAUUUAGGGUUGGGUUGAUGAUAGUGGACUUCCUCUUAUACUUAAUUCUCUACAAAAAGAAGAAGAAAAACUUAUUAAAUCAGUCGUGGGUUUUUCAGUAUAAAAAUCAACAACUGAUUGGCUGUUGGCUGGAACCUAUGUUUGGGUGAGCAAGCUUAGGUGGGUUGAUUUGGAUCCAUCAGAUGAAUCUAUAAUUGAAAAGUAAAUUUAUGGUUGAAGUAAAUAAAAAUGAAAAAAAAAAAAAAAGUGAAACAGUUUUGAUCUUGGGAUGAUGAAGAUGUUAGAAAAUUGAGAAGUAAAAAGGGAAAGAAGAAGAAAGCUUAUAUUACGAAAAAGUAAAAUAAAGGAGAGAGAGAGAGAGAGUGCAUGGUUUAAUUGUCUUAUGCUAAUGCCGUCAAGUCUACGUCGGGGCUGCCACUGGGAGCGCCAUUUUCAAACCCUUUUUUAUAAAAUCAUUACUUUCUUUUCUCUAAACUACGCGCUGCGACUACCAGGCAUCUCUCCAACUCGCCCUUGUAAAGCCUUUUUUUUUUUUUUCUAACUUCUAAACAAUUAAUUCCCCCUCACAACGCUACCCUUUGUCGGUGCUUCCAAUUGGAUUUACUUUUUCUUUUAUAUGAUAAACGAAAUCCACUUUUAUUUCUCCAUUUCCCUUUUCUUCUUUUUCCUUCUAGUAAUCCGACAACAAGGGGACAUAAUUCAAUCUACACUUUGUUUUUUCUUUUUCUUUCUUUCUUUCUUUCUUUCUUUAUCUUUCGUCCUCUACAAAAUUUUAUUUCCCAUGAUUGUUUAUGAUUACAAACUAAUAUUUCAUUCUUGUUACAUUAUUAUGCCUCAACUGUCAUUUCACCUGCAUUUUCACAACUAUGAAAACUUUAGUUUUUGUUAGUCCAGGAGCGCAAGCGUGAGCAUCUAUGUGAAAAUGAGAAACAGUUUGGGAGCAGUGAAGUAUGGACAAAGAGCUCUAAUAGAAGCAUUGUUGUAUUGAGUUGAUUGAAUGUAGAUAAUUGUGCAAAUAAGUCACGCACAACCAAAAUGUUGAUUCUUGUUUUCAUAAUAUGGCUCAAAUGUCAUUUUGAUGGUAGGUUUUAUGUCUCAUUUGUAUACACUAUCAAGUAACGAUAUUUUUUUUAAUUUGAUCAAAUAUUAAAAGAGUAGUUAUCCCGUGUUGGAAAUGUUCAAGAAAAUGAGAGCUUCGUAAACUAUAAAAGAACAUUAAUCCCAAUUUGAAGCACUCAUGCAUACUAUACGAACUCUUUUGUUAUGUGAUUUAUGCUUUAAGAGAAUAUGUUUUUCGUAAUCAAGAGAGAUUUUUUUGUAGGAAUGUAAUAACUUUUCAAAUAAUACUUCUUUUUUUUUAAAUUCAUGGUUUUUUUUUUCUCUAAUGUCAAGUUUUCUAGACGUUCCAACUAGAUGACCACUAACCAAACGAUCAACUAGGUGUUAUGUUUUGAAAAUUUUCAUCUAGGCGACCAAGUUGCAGACAUUUCUGUUUUAGACAUCCAAAAUUCAAACGUCUAUUUGUUGUUUUACCGCAUUGUCAAGUUCUUGUAUCAAUAAGUUUAAGACGUUUCUUUUUGUUACGCAAUGGUAGGUUCAACUCAAGCCGUUUUUUUAUUCACCGUUCUCAAUUGUGCAUUUUGGUUCGAAGAAGCACACUUCAAGCAAUGAAAACAAAAGACGUUAUUUUUCUUAACUAUGAAGAAAGUCAUCACCACAUGUACCACUGAAAAACCAUAAGUUCCAAAAACCGAUCCAAUCGAGGAACAACUCAAGAAUUUGGACACAUGAAAGGAAAAUAAUUUUAUAUGUAAAAGUCUAAUAUUAAAUGGUUUGAUUGAUGACUUGUAAGACUAUUAUCGUACAAUAUCCACAAAGGCUGGUUCAAAGAAGAAUUAUGAGAUGCUUUAUGGAAGAAGUAUGACACUAAAAAGGCUGGUUCAAAGAAGUAAUCGGUCAAUCAAUACUUAAGAUACUAGAUGACAUAUGAAAGAUAUGUAGAAACACAAUCUCAUGAACGGCAAAAAAUUGUUCAUGAAAUAACUAGCGAAUGUCUGGUUCUAGAUGAAAAAAUCCAAGUUGUUAUUAUUGAAAAAUUACCUUCUACAUGGAAGAACUUUAAAAAUAUUUUAAGGCAUAAGACCAAGUAAUUCUCCUUGGAAAGUCUCAUAACGAGCCUGAGGAAUGAAGAGGAAGCUCAAAAAUAUAACCAAAAGGAGGAGGUGAAUGUCGUACCUAUGAGUGUGUCUUUAUAGGAUAUGCAAUAAAUAUUAAAGUCUUAGGUAUUAUGACCUAGUAAAUCAAAUGAUUGUAUAAUCAAAUGAACCUGACUUUUUUUAAGAUAGAUUUCUUUUUAAAUCAAGAAAUAGUGAGGGCUAGAGUUCUAGUAGUCUAUCUUUAGUUAGAACUAACUUCAAAUGAUAAAGUAGAUCCUCAGCCUAGAAGGAGCUAGCAAGAUAAUUCGAACCAUUAUAGACUUUGAAGAUGACUUAUCGAAACCUACAAUAUAGAAGAAGACCCUAAAGAUCUAACAAAAGCCCUAUCCUUCGUCGUGUCAAUAGUAUUGCAACAAUUGCAAACUUAGAACCGUUAUUAUAACAAAAAAGACGACAAAUAUGUUGUAAAUACAGUACCAUUAGAGCGUUUCUCACUACUUAUGUAGUUAUAGUGGAUCAUGUAUUAACUGAUCAAAACUUGACAGAUCCUUUGAUGAAAGGACUAGCUAGAGAAAAGGUUUUUAAAACCUCAGUAAGAAUGAAACUCAUGCAUAAAGAAAAAUGAAUCACUCGUGAGAAAAACCCAACUUGUAGACUGCAUAUCCCAAGAAACAAGUUCAAAAGAUAAUAACUGAUCAUAAGUGAUAUGGAGAGAAUCAUGUUAGAAAAAUCAGGAAUUCCAUUACCAUGAUCUAGAGUAAUAGCAUGAGAUAACCUGAAGCAAAUGAAAACCCAAGGAGUACCCAUGUCCUUAUUCGUUCAGAAGGGUGAGGUGAGGAAUAAAAUAAUAAUAUUAAUUUUAUUUUAAUUAAUCUUUUUAAAAGUUUUCUCGAGGCGUUGAGACCUUUGAAUGCAUUGAGAGGCGAAACGUUGAGACCAUUGAACAUGUUGAGGGGCAAGGCGUUCUAACUGUUAAAUGCGUCAAUCGUUGAAGUGUUAUGCUUUGAUAUGACCAUUGAAGCGUUACAUUUUGACAUGACUGUUGAGGUGCUCUAGAUCUUAGACGUUAAGGUUCUUAUGACCGUUGAGGUGUUAUGAAAUCACACACUAUAUAGAGUUAUCCUCUUAGUUCAUUUGAGAAUCGUUAGAAAACAAUUUUUCAUACAAAAUUCUCUCAAACUUUCUGUCUCAUUUUUGUUUUCGAACAAAAUUAUUCACAAGUGGUUGGUAUUUUGAUCGGUUUUGGUGUAGUUCCCAUUGAGUAUUAAGUCGUUUUAUCCUGGGCCAUGUGGCAAUAUCAAGAAGAGAAGUCCUUGAACACAUUGAGGGGUGAGGUAUUCUGACCACUAAACAUGUCGAUCGUUGAAGCGUUACGUUUGACAUGAUCGUUAAGGCGUUACAGGUUUCAGGCGUUAUGGAUCUUAUGAUUGUUGAGCUGUUAUGAAAUCACACAAUAUAUAGUUAUCUUCUUCAUUCAUUUGAGAAUCAUUUAGGAAACACAUUUUCUUACAAAAAUCUUUCAAAACUCCUCUCAUUUUCGUUUUCAAGAAAAAUCAUUCACGACUGUUUGAUAUUUCGAUCGAUUUGGGUGCAACACUAAUCGAGUAUUAAGUUGUUUUAUCCUGGGGUAAUGUGGCAAUAUCAAGAAUUGUCUUAAAGAGAGCGUGUUACAUCCCUCAGCCUUUGUCAAACAAGCUUUUGUUUUGCAGAUUUUAAUUGCACAAAUUAAUUAGGCGACCAUCUUCCAAAUGUUUUUCCAACCGACCUCUAACCAGAUAAUCAGUCCAGACGUUCUGUUUAGAUGACUUUCAUCUAAGUGACUGGUUUAUGUGAUCACACCAAAUGACCAAUAAAUUCAAGAUGUUUUUGUUUUAGGUAUUUGAAACACAAACGUCUAUUUGUUAUUUUUAUCGCAUAGUCAAUUUCUUGCAUCAAUAGUCACCAACCAAAUACAACAUAAGUUUGAAGAUCAAACUAGUGAUGAGAUAAAAUGAUCAAGUUUUAGAUUUUCUCUACUACAAGCACGUGCCAUACACAAAUUUAAUUUAAUCAAACUCUACGUUAUGAUCUAUUUAGAAUGACUUUCUAAUUAUUUAUAAACAAUUUUUUAAUUUAUAAAUACUUAAAAAGUUAAUUCAAGUACACCCUUAAAUUGAAUAAUACUAAAUGAUUCUCACAAUGAUUUAAGGAUUAAUCCAUAUGUAACACAUGAAUUGUGAGGUUAAUGAAUUUAUUAUAGUAAUGCGUACUAAUAUCUCAUUAAAUAAUAAAAAAUAUAAUUACUCAUUAACUUGGUACCAACUAAUAAAUUGACUAUUAUUAGAUUAAUUACAAUUGUUAUACUGCUAUUAUUUAAAAUUUUAAAUAAAUUAAAAUAUUUACAAAAUAUAUCAAAUUUUGAUAAUAUAUAUAACUUAAAAAAUAUUUUAAAAAACUUCUCUCUAGUUCUUUACAAUUUUGGCCAAGAACUUUGCUCUUCUACCUAAAAUUGAUACAGACCAUAAUUAAAAAGAAAUGAAAGAAACGAGUUUAAUCAUUCUUUUCUUUUCUUUUCUUUUCUUUUUAUGGAGCCAUAUUAUAUGUUGAAUCUUUUUUUAGUGUAAAACAAACCAACAGACCAUCAAAACCUGGUGACUCUCUCAUCACUUUCUUAUCAAAGAUGAGAGAAAUAAUACAAUCAUGAAAGAUAUCUUUAUUCCAAAAUGUAUGCUAAUGUUGCAAUAACAUGAAUAGUUUUGUUUUCCUAUAUAUGGAUGUGAGACAAAAGAAUGAUAUAUUAAUAAAGUUAGCAACAACAAAAAUAACGUCUUCCGUAGAAAUCUUCUUAUUAGCAAAAGAGCUCUCUUUUUUUUGUGGACCAAAUUUAGAACUUCCAAAGCAUCAAAAUCGACCAUAUUUCGAUUAGUUAGCAAUUAAUAUUUGAUUGCGAUCAUAUUACUAUUUAAUUGUCAAUUAUAUCUGUUUCUAUCUGAUUAUUGUUUGAUUGCUAUUUAAUGAUACUUAUUGUUUGUUUGAAUGUUAUUUGAUAUUGAUUGUAAUAUGAUUGCCAAUAAUGUCAAUUGUUAUCUCAUUAUGUCUAUACUACUAUAUGAUACUGAUUGUUAAUGCUAUCGAUUGCCAUUUAAUUGUAAUAUGAUUACCGAUUGCCAACGAUAUCAACCGUGUUAUAUAAUUGUUGUUUGAUUAUUAUCUAAAAUGAGUUGCCAAUCAUACUUGUUGUUAUUUAUUUACUAUCUAGUUAUAUGAUUGUUCAUAAUAUAUAUUGAUGGUUGUCUGACUAUCAUUUGAUGAUGAUGAUUAUUAAUGGUACUGAUUGUUGUAUAAUCAUUGCUACUUGAUAUUGAUUGUUAUUUGAUCAUCAACAAUACUCGCUGAAGUUUGAUUACUAUUUGAUAAUGAUCGUCAACUCAUUACUAGCUUAUUGUUAUCUUAUGUUGAUUGCUAAUGAUACUAAAUGAUGUCUAAUUGUUAGGUGAUAAUAAUUGUUAUUCGAUUGUGAAUGAUACCAAUUAAUGUAAUGGGAUUGUUAGUUAUCUAAAUAUUAUUCGAUAUUGAUAGUUAGUAAUAUCAAUUAGUAUUUGAUUUGUGGGUUGUUUGAUUACUAUUUGAUAUCGAUUCCUACCUCGUACUCACUUAUAUACUAAUUUCUAAUUAUUUUUUUAUGUUGAUUGUUAUAUCUGGUCACUAAUGAUAACCAUUGCUAUCAAAACUAAUUAAAUAAUAUAUAGUUUAAUCUAAAAAAAUAUUAGGCCCUUCUAAUUUGAUAUAAUAUCAAUUAAACACAAAUGAAAGAGGUGGACUUAAGUUUCAAGAUAAUAACUACACUACAAUAAAAGAAGAAUGAAGAAGUAAUCUUAUUGAGAGAGAAAGAAAAGGAAAGAGUAAUUUCACGACUAUUUAAACUUUCCUAAAAUUUAAUUAGUUGAGGAAAGAAAGAUAUGAGAAAAUUUUUGGGUACAAAUAAAAGAAAAUAAGAUUAAUGGUCUGUUUGAAUUAUAUUUUAUAAGUUAUUUUGAAAAAAAAACUAAAGUGUUUAAAAGCCGUUCAAAAUAGAUAUUCAAGUGUAUUUGAAACAAUUUUUAGGAAAAAAGUUUAAAUAAAUAUGAGUUCGUUGAAAAACAUUUUUUUCUUAAUUCAAUUUAAACCUACUUUUAGUGUUCUAUUUUUAUUGCGUUAUGGUACCUACCAUAGAACCUUCGACGCUUAAGUGAAGAACGCACCUUUGAUUGAUGACUAUGACUUCCUAAACACAAAAGUGAACUUAGAGUUCCUAAUCCAAACAAAGUUAUAGAAUGUUGAAUUAGGUCGGCCAUGGAGGUAGGCUAAGGCUAAGGCCAAGGCCAAAGCCGUGGCCCAUAGAAAGUGGGCACCUAUGAAGAGAAAAGAGUAAAGAGUGGCCUCUGACUUUGAGGUGGAGGAGGCGCCUUUGGGUUGCUGGUCAAAAUUUCCUCCCUUUAAUUUGAUGGUUUCCUCUUUCUUUGGUGUGUUUCUUAGGCCUCCCAUGCACCCAACCUAUUUUAGUUUUAGUGUUGAAGUAUGAUCUUCUUCUAAGCUAUUCAUGAUUUGAAUAUGAGCCCACAACAAAUAGGAAGAGUAUAUUUCAUAUUAUUACUAUAAUUACUUAACCUAAAGCAUUAUUUAUAACAUAACAACGUACGAACAAAGUGGAGAUUUCAGCGGCUCAUUGUUAAUUUUAAAAAAAUGACUACAGUUGAGAUCAUUAUAGUUACUAGAUAAUUAUUUAUACAAUUAACUGUUAAUUGUUGUUAAGUAAAUAUAUUGUCACGUGACACUUUGAUUUUUUUCUAUUUUUCUUAAUUUGUAUUUUUGUGAUAAAAAAGUGGAAGCAUACCUUAAUCAUUGCUUCUAGAUUAAUGAGCAAAGUUUUUUUUUUUUUUUUAAAUAAUUUUUAGAUGUUAAUUUUGUACUCUUUUACGAUAAACUUAAAAUUUUUAUUCCUUUUAGCGUGGUUUGAUAACCAUUAUUUUAGAAAAUUAAGAGCGUAUUUUUUUUUGUCAUUCUUGCAAAUAUUUAUUUAAAUUUCUAGUAUAAAAUUAUCGACACAAAUAGAUUAUUAGAUCUAAUUUGGUAAGGAUUUCAUUUUUUUUUAGUUUCAAACAUUUAUGAAAGUCAUUUUCCCAUAUUUCUCAAUUAGGAUUUUCACGUGUAUUCCUAGUCAAAUUCUAAAAACAAAAAUUGAGUUAAUUGAAACUGAAUAUAUAAUUGAAACAUUUUUAAAUAUAGCAAAAUGAAUCAGAAUAUUUACAAAUUAUAGUAAAAUUUGAGAUUUUUUCAAUGAUAUAAGUUGAAAGACUUCUCAAUGCCCAUUAAUGGAUUAAUAGAAGUUUAUCUAACCAUUAUUGAUAGAAUAUGAAAUUUUGUUAUAUUUUGUAAAUAUUUUCGUACUUUUAUCAUUUACAAUAGUUUUUUUAAAUAGUUUUUAUUUUUCUAAAUUUGUCUUAAUUUUUUAAAAUAGUGGCACAAAAUUGAUAGUAAAACAAUAUAAAAACAUAUAAGUGGAGGUUAUAUUUAUAGUCUUAAUUUAAAAAUAUUAAAAAAUUAUUUUAUGAAAUAUAAAUAAUUAAUUUUAAAAUAUUUUUAAAUGAGUAAUUGUUACUAAUAGCACAGAAAAUGAAACUAUAUAAAAAUUAAAAUUUUCAAAUGAAUUAUAGGAUGAAUUUUGGUGUAUUGUUAUAAAAUAUUUUUAAAUGAGUAAUGGUAUUUUUGGUCUAAAUUUAAAAAAACAUAAAACAAAAAUAACAAAAUGAUCUAUUCAUUUUGGAUUUUGAUAAUUUGGAACUGCUUUCUAGAGAACAGAAAGCGAUUAUAAAACUUUUUUAACCGUUUUUAUUAGGUAAAAACAGAAUUGAAUCAAAUAGGUUAAAAUCACUCUUAAAAACAAUAACUAAGGGUUAUUAUUAUAACAAACAAAAAUAUCGUUUUAAACCAUUUGAAUUAUAUAUCACAUAGAAAAAAAAAGGUCAAUUACUGUUCGUUAUAGUUAGGUUUGCCAUAAUCCUUUCUUCAAACACGUGGAAUGACUCCACUCUAUUAUAGUUCGAGAGUCAAAUGUCCCUUAGUAUUUUUUUAAUAUAGUUCUUUGUAUAUAUUUAUAAAAAGAAAAAUUGAGAGACGUGAUAUUAUUAAUAAACCCGUUUGAUUGAAACAAGUUGAAAGGUUAAUGAUAUGAAAGAAAAGAAUAGAAACUAAAAUAGUAAGAAUAUUAUUGGAAAAAAAAGAGUGUGGGUCAUUCCAAGGAUAUCUUCCAAAAGGUAUAGUGUGUGAUCAUUAAAUAAUUUUCCAAAAUUUUCAAUUACCUUCCACUCUUUCAUUCAAAUAUUCUAAACAUUUCAAUGACAAGAAGAAGUGGUUGAGUUGUAUCAAAAUAAAAGGAAAAUGGUCCACACACAAUACCCACUCCAAUUUUUAUUUUGAACCAUUUUCUCAAAUACACACAUUACAUACAUCAAAUAUAUAGCAAUAAUCACCUCAACAGUCCCUUUCCAAACACAUUAUAUAUAUAUGAAUCAUUAAAUCAUAAAUGAACAUAAGAAAAAAAAAAUGGUCCAAACACACCCAUUUCACCCUUUGGAGUCUCUUUCUAAUUUCCUUUUCCAUGCAUCUAAAAAAACAAUAAAUAUAUGGUACCAAAAACGCUCAACAUUACAUUCAUUAUUUCAUUACCCUAAAACAUUAGGCUAAAUUAACUUUCUUGUUUAUAUAUAUAUAUAUAUAUAAAGUCAUUAGAUUCUAUUGUGGAGAUGAAGACAAAAAGGGACCUUAUUAUAAAGUAGUUGAAAUGUAUCGAUCAUUUAGUUAAGUGUGCAUAUGUUAGUUUAAUUAUAUUGUUUUAGAUACAAUUCAAUGGAUAUUUAUUAGAGCUUCAGUAGCAUUUCUCACUUAUAAUUAUAUUAUUUGGAACCAUAUAAGUGAAUAAUAAUGUGUUUAAUUACAUUUCUUAAUGGUGUUAGUGGUCCCAAAUAGUUUAGUGUAUUUGUUCGUUUUCGUCUUUAAUAAUAUCAUAUCAUAUAUAUCUCUCAAGCCUCACAAAGGUGCUCCUAUUAACUAUACGACUCAAAUUCUUCUAUUAACAACUAUAGAUAUGGAGGUUGCGUGUUUAAACUUUCUAAUAAGCUAGGUAUUCCAUUUGAAUGCUAAUUUACACAAAGUGAUUAAAUGACAAUAUUGUUAAAAAUAUUUACGAAUACAGUAACGUAGCACGAUUUAUAAACAUAUAUCUAUGUGUGAUAUUUUGUUAUAUUUAUAAAUAUUUUGGUUCAUUUGGUAAAAGUUGAAAGCUAAGGAUACGAAUGGAAAAGGCAUCUCCAUCUCCAUCUCCGAUCUCCAUGCGUGCCCCAACCCUACUGGUCAAUCUCUAAACGUAUGGGGUCGGAUGCUCUUUCUUCAAUAUUAUUAUUAUUAUUAUUUAUCUAAAAAAACAUCUCUAUAAAAGUUGUACAGAAAUAUUAAUUACAUAAAUUGAUUUUAAAGAAAGCUACUUGUUUGUUUAAGCUUUGAUUGGAUUUUGUAUUUUUCUUUAAUCAUAACUUCUAAAAUUUGCAAAGUUUUGUACUUCUCAUUCUAACCUUUGGAUAAUGUGUGUGCGCUUUUUUAAUGUCAACUUUUACAAAUUCCAUACAAAAAUUUGAUUCUUUUGAUAAUUUCAUCUUUACAAAGUAUUCUUAUUCCCAAAAAACAAAAAAGAAAAAAAAGUAUCUUUUCCAAUUUGCCCUUUUUUCUCAUUAAUAUUAGAUGGUAGGAAGCAAAGACCCACAUCUCUACCGAGGCUCAAGCCCAAGUAUCUAAGACUCUGCUUGGGCAUGGAUCAAUUGACUAACCCUUCAAUUGAAAACCUAUGAUUCGAUCUUUGGGCUUACUCAUUAUUAGAUCAAAGUUUGGCCCAAAUUGGCAUUCACCUUGGACCUAUCUAUUGAAUAUAUACUAUAUAUAUUUAUAAAUUUAUUUUCUAUUUUAAUACAAAAUUUAGGUUAAAUUAUUGGUUUUAUAUAGUAUUUUAUUUUCUUAAAAAUAUUAAAACUUUACCCUUUUAUAUGUAAAGUAUUGGGAAGAUGUACAUUUGGGUUGAUACAAACACAAUGAUGCAACACAUUCGUGUAGGUUAUAUACAAAUGAAGGUGUCCUAUGUAAUGAGUUUGCAUAAGAUUGGACCAUAAAACAGUGACCAUUAGGUUUAACUCUGUUAACUAGUUAGGUUUUUAUUUCAUUAUGAUGACUUGGGUAACUUAGUCCUAAUCCUUAGUGUAUUAUGAACUUCUGAUCUCGAUGGAUUGUCCUUUGAUUUAUACGGGUGAGGGAUUGUAGGAUUAAUUUAGAUUUUUUACAACGCAUUAGGAUUGUAUUGAGAGGCUAUUUAAGCCUUGUCUUUAGGUUGUUUAAGGAGUUUUUUAUAAUUUAAUGUUUGGGGUAUUUUCUAUUGAUAGAAAUUCUUUGACAGAUGACAAAGCCUCAUCACUACCUUUUGCAAUUCUUGAUUCAGGGUUGCAUGACAAAAACAUUAAGGUAAGUUUGAUUACCUUGCUUGUGGAAUGUUCAAACUUGGAGUGAGGACCUAUUUUUUUUUUUUUUUUUUCAUAUUUUGGUCUUCGAUCAAAGGGUAAUCCAAAUCUAAUCCAUUAUAGGUAAUUGAUUUCAUUAACCAUAUAAUUAAUUAAUAUUUGUUAGUUGUGUGUACACUUCACUAAAACCUUAUAGCUGAACUCUUCUCAUUGUAGAUAUAUUUAUGUGUUCAUGGAUAUAGAUUAAUAACAGUAAGUUAGUCAUUCACAAGUGUUUGUAACAUCAAAUUGUUCAAAUUAUCAUUUUACCAAUGUGUUACUUUUAAUCCUUAAACACUAGUGCUUCUCUAAUGCACAACUUGUUUAUGGCCCAACCACUAAACAGAAACCCCUAUCGUGCCAUAGAGAGGGUAGAACAAUUUGUUCAAGUCCCAGAGACACCAUUUAAGGAAACACACAUCUAUUUACCCUAAAGUUUGGAAGGAGUGAAUUUCAUCUUGUGUUAUUAUGUUCUCAACUUCCUACUCGAUCUUGUCCCCAAAAUGAUAAGCAGAUUGAGUAGGCAAUCUGUCUAUUCUCACUCGUACAAAUCAAAGGACAAUUCCUCAUGAACAAAAGUUCAUAAUACACUUAGGAUUAAGACUAAGUUACCUAGGUCAUCCUAAUUAGCUAAUGGAGUUACAUCUAGUUGUUACUAUUUCAUGGUCUAGUCUUAUGCAAACUCAGUGGAUAUGAUACUCUCACUCGCAUGUCACCUACACGAACGCGUUGGAUCAUUGCGCUUGAAUCAAAUACAAAUUGAGUCAGUGUUACCAAGAUAAGGUACUUAACCUUAUCCCUAUACUAUAAACCCUUUCAGCUCUAUCUCAAACAUUGAUCCUUGUAUGUCUCUACAUAUUGUUCAAGACUCAUAAAACUACUUAGAAUGCUAGUUUAUUGGAUUUAGGUUAUUUAGACAACUAAUAAUAUAAUCAAUAACACUUAAUGAAAUUAUAAUAAUAACACUUUAUUAAUAAUAGUCAAUGAAUUACAUUUACUAUCUAUGAGUUUUAAGACAUAUAAAACCCAACAAUAUCAACACCCAACUCAACAAUGGAAAGAGAGAAAUAGACACUACCUACGAAAAACUUCCUUAUAAAUUAAUUUUUCAAAGUGAUUGAUCAUUAUUAUGUAGGCAAUUUUUACCAUUUUUAGGUCGGAGAAUAUAUAAAUGUAUAAAUUAAAUUUUGAAAUAGGGAGUAUGCAUGUACUCAUGAAUUAGAAUAUAUGUAAUUAUUCGUUUUAAAUGCAAUAAAAUAAACUAAAAUAUUUAUGAAUAUAUCAAAGUGUGGAUGUCUAUAAAUGAUAAGCAAUGAUGAACACAGAUAGAUGAAGAAUGACAUUUUGUUAAAAAAAUUGUCCAAUAUAUUGAAUUAUUAAGACAUCGUUUUGUAACCAUUUUGUUUUUUGUUUUUUACUUUUUGAAAAUAAAGCUUAUUUCCUUUUACGAUAAAAAGAUAAUAAUUGAAAUUCACCCUAAAUUUAUAAAGUAAAAAUAAAAUUUUAAAAUCUAUUUUUUUAGUUAAUUUUUAUUUUUAAAAAGUAGAAAACAAGAAAAGAAAUUUAGAGGGAAAAUGAGUUUUAAUUUUUUGUAAGAUGCUUAAGAAAAAGAACAAAAAUAGGUAAGAUGCUUAACAUUUUCAAAAUUUAAAUUUUAAAAGGAAGGGAAGUGAACACACCACUGCUACUUGGUUAGGAUGGAUAUCAUUUUCGCAAACAGAGUAGAACUGCAUUUGUUUUAAGGUAACAUUUACAUUAAUUUCUUUCAAUUCAACCUACUUUCUUUUGCUUUGAAUCUUUGCAAAUUUUAUGCUACUCCAGCAUACGGCUCCUAAUCAAUCACACGCACGGGCUUUAUUUUAAUCGAUUGUCAUAAUGGGAAGGAAAACAAGUGCACAAUCAUGUUUAGAAGUUGAAUUUUGAUUCACUUGAUGUUUGAUUAAUGUUCUGUGUUGGAUUUGAUGACAGGCAGUGAUUAUAUAUUCAAAUAUGCUAGGCAGAAAGAAGUUUAUUUCUUAGAAUUCAAUGGUUGUUUUGUUUGGCAUCAAUGGCCAUAAUAACUGUUUGAUGAAAUGCCAAACAAAGAUUUGGUUGGAAUACAUAAAAGUGGAGUUGUGGUGGAUGAGGUCGUAGUAGGUAGUGCUUGAUAUGAAAUGCUUGUACAACUCUACUAAUUGUUAAUGUGGGGAAACUGAUUCAUAAUUUGGCUUCAAAAGUCGUAAUUGAUUCUUGUCUUAACCUUUAUUUCUUUCUUCAUCUGUCUUAAAGAAUAAGGAGAUAUAAUUAUAUGGAGGAGGGGUGAGUAUUUGAUGAAGCUCACUUUCUAUACCAAAUAUCUUGGAGCUCUAUGAUCUUUAGGUAAUUAAGACGUGACUCGGUUGAAAAUACCAAAGCCUUGUUUAGUUCCAUGCCUUGAAAAUUUAUUGUUUUCUGGACGAGGUUAUGCUUGAACCUACUCAUUCUUUCGAGACUUAACACUUUUUCCAAGAGAUACGUAUAAAAUGGCCUAAAGCCGGCCGGAUGAGACCAUAUUACCUAUUAGUAAGUGUAGUAUCUUUUUGUGCUUGGUUGGCUACUCUUGAGUAGGGGAAAUUUAUUGAUUCUUAUAUAAGAAGAAUUUUCUAACUCAGUCAUUCUAGGUAUGUACAAUCCUCAUAUAGGCAUGUUAGAUAAAGCGUGGAUGGGUUGAAAGUUGCCAAUAUGUUAUCAUGACAUAGUUUAGAGGGGAGAGGGGUUACAUGGAAUUCUGUAAUUCUUGGAUUGACCAUAUAGGGGUUGGUAAAAAGCUACAUUUUCUCAUACUAAACGAUGUCAUCAAACAUACCUAAUAAUAUAACAUUUGUGGAGUAGUUGGCUUGUCUAUGUGAUUUAUGAUCAAGAGAUAAAAUCAUAUUACCUAUUAAUACGAAUGCAUGAUUGAUCUUCUAGGUGUGUUGCAGCGUAUGUGGGUACUUGUGGCAAUUAGAAAAUUAUGAUAGUGAAAUUGAAAGAACGCUGGGAAGAAGCUGAUUGAGCUUCAACCUAACCAUGAAUAGGAGGGGAAAGCUCUUUGUUUAGACAUAUUGAAAAGCUAGUUAUUAUUGCAUUUGGGGUUAUUAUUUUUAGUCCACAACCAACAAUCAGAAUUCAGAACAAUGAAAACACCCUAUGAACAUGCAAUGACUGACACACAAAGCAAAAUUUAUCUCUUGUGCUGUUUGCCAUCAAAUUGUGUUGAGUGAUCAACAUUGUUGUCAUUGUCGUCACUUAGCUAACAUGACAACUGAAUAACUUAGUUCUUAGUGUUUAUUAUGGCAGUAGAGCACUUUAGAGAGAAUCAAGAGUUUGCUACAUACCUAGCCCAUGACUGGACACUAAAGCCAAUAACGAAUUGCCUCAAACUCCGUGGAUGGUUUUGCAGAUGAAAGCUGCUGGAUUUUCCAAAUCACAGCCUAUUGAUUUGAGUCAUUGUGUCUGGCAUAAUGAGGAAUAUGAAUUCAGGAUCAGCAGAUGCCAGUAGCCACCUUCAGGAAAGCCUUUGCCUCACUUAUAGUGAACACGAGAGACUGUAGAAACUGAAACAACGAGAAGUAUCGAUCAGGAAAACAACAUCUUAAUCUAGAGCGAACAUUAAUUAGUUCUGUUACAAAAAUUUUGUUAUUAGGUUAUCCAAACACUCUACAUGUUUCUAUUGCUUUAACAAGAUGCAUGACACAGUUUCCUUCCAUUAUAAUUUAAUUUAGACCUUUUGAUUUAAAUUUAGUGUAGCAUGCACUAUCCAUUGUUAUAGUUUUUUUGAGAUCAGAUUCUUAAUAAAAUUAAAUAAUUUAUCUUAAUUCUCUUUUCUUGGGGUUUAGAAUAAAAGAUGACAUGUCUUUUCUUUCAAGAUUUCACAAACACACUUUUGAGCUUGAAAGAUCUACGUAUGCUUUCUUUGUCAAGUUCAUUUUUAGUAUUUUCUUGUGCUAAAGUUUAUUCUAUUUUUUGACAUUGGAGUUCGGGUUCAAAUAAUAACAAUUAAUUGGACCUUGAAAGUUUUGGAUGCACAAAGGAAAUGUGUAAGAACCGAUUUGUGUUCAACGUGAUCUCACUAUAUGUACCUAUAUGUACUACUAAAAAACCUUAAACAUUACCUAGCAUCAAGAAUGAUUUUUAUUUUAUUUUAUUUUUAUUUUUUUAGUGUGAAUUUUUUUUUUGGAACAUAGUUUCAAGUGUUCUAAUUGUGCAAUACUUGAUAUCUCUUAUGAACAUGAAUACAUCUUUAGAUAGAUGAAUUGGUUGACCAAUGCAUAUCUUCUUACAGUUUACUGAACAACUAAUAAUUGAAAACAAAGGAAAACUGAAGGAAUUUAGGAUAUUUGAAGUGGUUUAAAAUAUUCUAUGCUGAUCUAUUUGAUAGGAAUGUUGUUAAAAGGUAAAUAAGUAACUAACGAGGUAUCAAAAUCUGUAUAAUAGAGACUCUGUUAGAUAGAAAACUAAAACUUGCUUUUCAUUAUGCAAAGUCAAUACAUUUACUGAUAGAAGAAGAGAGAGAGCGAGAAAACUCUCAUGAAGAAACUACGUAAUGAAUUAAUUAGUAAUCAAAAUCAAAAUCAAAGUCUGGAAUGGGAUUGUUCUGAACCAGAGUUUCCAGAAACUUGUCCUCAAGCAGAGAUUGGAAACCCUCGACGUUGUAUUCUUCAAACUCAUCUGGCUCAUUAAAAAGGUCUGAAACGUUAAAUUGAGUGGUUUCCUCAUCCUCUGUUUGGGAAGGAGGUGUAUCCAUGCCAAUUGCUUGGUCAAUCAAGUGAUCAUAAUCGGCCUCCAUGAACUCAAUCAUGUCGUUUGCAACUCUAAUCUUGGAAUCCAAAGCAUCCAACAACUCCAUCAAUUGAUGUUCGGAUUGGUGAUCCACAACAUUGUGGAGAAGUUUAGAUGUGUUAGUUAGGAUUUUGUUCUUGCGAUCAGAGAAGAAGCGGUUAAGAUCAUAAGAGGAGUUGGGUUUGGUGAAAGAGUGGGAUUUAUAAGAACGGAUCAUCUGGUGGAUUUGGUGAUGAUUGGGAGGCCAAGUUUCGAAGUGAGUGGAGGGGUCACAGUCAGAAGCAAUGAAAAGGCAAGUUUGAACAUCGCAAAGGGUGGAAAGCUCGUAGGCCUUCUUAAUCAGACUUUUCUUCCUCUUAAGAAAGGUUGUUCUUCGACUUUUGGGAUUGGGAAUGAGCUUAAGACUUAAUAUUCCUCUCCCCAUCGCUCUUCUCAACAAUGCAAAACGAAGGAAACUCCAAUGGCUUAGCAAGUUUUGAGCAAUUGUAGAGGGAAUGAGAAGAACAGAGAAAACAGGAGUGAUCUGACUUCUUUAUGGUUUUGGAACUUUACCGUUGUUCAUGCCCCGAUCUUCCUUUUAUUUUUCAAAAUUCCCAGUCAACUCCUUAUGAGCUUUAAAAUGCUGCCGAAACACUCUUACCAUUUAACGGCGAGCCGGUCAUCUUCCUGUGAUCUUUAAAAUUCUGCUGUUAAUAUUCUUACCGUUUAACGCCGAACCGGUCAUCUUCUUGUUCCCUAUAUCAUUCUGCCGUCAAUAAUGUUACCGUUGGACGGCGAGCCGGUCAUCUUCUUAUUACGCCGGUAGUGUUCCAAUUAAGCGCACCGUUCUUUACUGUUCCCAGCCUGUCAUCUUCUUCAAUGAUUUUAGGGUAAAUUAAAAAAGAAAAAAAAAAAAAGAAAAACACUUGAACUAUUAAAAAGCUUCAUAAAUACCAUUGAGGCUUAAAAAGAAAUUAAAAGAUAUUCUCAAUCAUCCAAUUUACAUCCAUGUUUUCACUGACUAAAAUUUUAACUUAAAAUCAGUUAUUUUGUAAUUAACAUCAAGAUUAAUUAUGGUUUUAGAUUGUUAUUUUGCAAUUUCGUGAGGUUUUGAUGAAUUUUAUGUUUUAAGGAAGGUUUAUAAUAUCAAUAUUAGUCUUAGUUUUAUAGAAAUUUUGAUUUGAAUAGAUGUUUAUGAAAAGUUAUAAAAAUGAAAAUUCAAAAUAUAAAUUUAAUUAGUAAAUAAAUAUUUUAUUACUUUUAAAUGAGUAAACAUGCUUAUUAUUUAUAUUAGUGGCUUUUUCUACCAUGUAAUGAAAGUAUUGAUUCACCUCUCCAAUUAAUAUCAAACUCAUUAAAAACAUGAAAAUAAGAGUUCGCAAAAUUGGGAAUUAGAGUUAAAUAAUCCUACAAAUUUCUCUACUUCAUCUUUUCAUAACCCUACAAAUUUUUUCCUACUUCAUCUUAUUAUAAUACUACACUAAUGACUUUUCCCCUAAACACAUGUUAUAAUAGCACUACAAUCAUAACUCUUCACACAAAUGCAUAUUAUCAUAAUACUACAACAAUAAUUCUUCCACCAAACACAUAUUACCAUAAUACUACCAAUAAUAAUCAUAAAUAACACUAAGGUUAUUAUAAUCAUAAGAUUAUCAUAAUCAUUUUUUCUCCAAACUCUUUCCCUACCUCAAAUGCACCCUUAGUUUUUAUUUUUGGGUUAAGAAAUUUGGUGUAAAACUGGAUUAAUUAAAGUAUUAAUUAAUUCUUUUUAAAAAAAUUUAAGAGUACUUACGAAACUUUUUAAUAGUUUAGAGGUAUUUUUGAAACUAAACUUUGACGGUUUCUAUCCAAAAUUAUUAGUAAAGAUAUUUUUUUAUAACAAUUUUCAAAAGUUUUUAAAAAAAGUAGAGACUUUUAUAAUUUAGCCAUGAUUUUAUUUGCACGAAUGGUCUUCUUUUGACCCUUUUCUUCAAUUUCAUUUUUAGAAUUAUUUAAACAAACUAUUUACAUUUAAGAAAAAGAUCACUAAACAAACAAAAUUCAUACUUGAGGUAUUUUGUUAAAUUUUCUAUUUUUUUUUUAUAAUUUCUGUUGUGUAAGGUUUUUUUUCUUUUCUUUUCUCUUUUCCAAUUUUCCUCUAACAAAUUGAAAUGAUGUCUAUGUAAAUUAAUAUUUAUGUUAGUUAUAUUAUUAAAAUGUUAAAUUACGAGUUUAAUGGUUGAAAUGAUCCUAUUUCAAUUGAAACCAACCAACUUGAAUUUUUUAAAAUUGAAAAUAAAAAAUGGUCCAAUUAGGAAUAGGUAUAAGUGAGAUGAAAAAGAAAAGAUAUAUUUUCUGUUGAGUCUAAUUUUUAGUUGGUUAUAAGUUUUGAAAGGUUACAUUUUAGUCUCAAUCUAGUUUAGGUUUAAUUUGAUCACUAAGUUUCAAAACUUACCUCUUUAAAUUUAAUUUGUUAUCUAAGACUUAAUUUAAUCUUAAGUUUCAAAAUGUUGCAUUUUUUUUACUACUCACAUUUUUUCUUUGGUAAUAACCUCGGGGUCAAUAAAUUUUGACCAAUUAAAUUAUGCCACAUCAUCACAACAAAUAUUAUGAUAAUUAUAUUUUUGAUUGAGUUUGUAUAAUUAAGUUUACUCAACCCAACCCAAUUCAAUUUUAACAAACAGAUUAGUCCAAGCCCAACAAGCAUAUGGGUCAAGCCCAACAAGAAAAUGGGUCCAUGUCCAAGCCCAAUAAGGGAAAUGGGUCCAAGUCCAAGUCUAAGCUCAACAAGCGGAUGUGCCUAAGUUAAGUCCAACAAACAGAUGGACUCAAACCCAAUAGACAAAUGGGUCCAAGCCCAAGCCCAUCAAGCAAGUGGGUCCAAGUCCACCUAAAGCCCAUGAAAAUUCUCUAUAGAGACAUGCUCAAUAUUGGGUUGAAGAAAGAAUAGAAGCUCUGAAGUACUGAAGCUAUGAAGAAUUGAAGAUUCAAACUCAAAUGUCUUUAUUCAUUACGUAUACACCACAUAAUAGUUAACUCUCCAAUAAAAAUAAGCUUAAUAGUUUGCUCACAUACAAACAUCACAAUCAUUAAUCAACAAACUUUCUUUUCAAAUAAAUAACAUCAACAUCAACAAUAAUAAGUACAACACCAGAUUUAGAAAGAAAAUUUUCAAAAUAUUUCUUUUAUUAAAAUCACUCACAGUCCUCGAAGUUCCCACUCUUAGCGUAAACCCUUCUUUCCUUCAACAACUUAAUACUUUAACUAAAUUCUUUGAGAAUCUCUAAAAGAUAUGAACAAUUUUAUGAACUUUACACUCCUAAUCUUCCCCUUUGAUAGAACUCUCUACAUUACCAUUUUGUGACACCUAAACUCAUAUUACUUAUUCUUCUUUCACCUCUUAAUUCUAUGUUUACACCUCUUACUUGUCAAAAUUUAAGUCUUUGCAUGCCUUUACACCUGAAAUCUAACUCAUUGAACACUUAACUUUUUAGUGAUUUCAGUUGUAAUGGGUCCUACAUCACCCCAAUUUCACUAAUUAAACCCUUUUUACCUUCAAUUUUUUCUUAUAUCAGUAAAGCAUCCAAAUAGUCCUGAGAUCCUUCAGAAUUUUCUUUUUACCUUCAAUCUCGACCGAAGUUGUGUCCAAGAUUGCCCGAGAUCCUUUUAAUUUCCUUUCUCUUCAUCUAAUCUCAACCAAACAAGCAUCAAGAUUGCUCGAGAUUACACUUCUUAAGCAUUUUGUUCUUCAUUUUGAUCGAACAAGCGCUAAGAUGGCCCCAAGAUCACGCUUUUGUUUUCAAUCUUGCCUGGGAUUCCACGUGACUGCCUGCGAUCCUUCCUUAAAACCCUUUUGUUUUUCAUCAUGGUCUGCUACUGCUUCGAGAUCAACCUUCUUUCUUCAAGAUCCUCUAAAAAACACUUAGCUCAUUACCAAAAUAACUCUUCUAUUAGGCACGAGUCUCAUAAAUGAAGUAUAUUAAGUGUAUCAA